rnacentral:rRNA from 1 species
AUUGAACGCUAGCGGGAUGCCUUACACAUGCAAGUCGAACGGAGUGGCGAACGGGUGAGUAAUGUAUCGGAACGUGCCCAGUAGCGGGGGAUAACUACGCGAAAGCGUCGCUAAUACCGCAUACUAUUGGAGCGGCCGAUAUCGGAUUCGCUAGUUGGUGGGGUAACGGUUCACCAAGGCGACGAGCCGUAGCUGGGUUGAGAGGACGACCAGCCACACUGGGACUGAGACACGGCCCAGACUCCUACGGGAGGCAGCAGUGGGGAAUUUUGGACAAUGGGGGAAACCCUGAGCCAGCCAUCCCGCGUGUGCGAUGAAGGCCUUCGGGUUGUAAAGCACUUUUGGCAGGAAAGCGGUAUCUAACCAGAAAGCCACGGCUAACUACGUGCCAGCAGCCGCGGUAAUAC